GGGGAUGUUUUUGGGAUUCGACAGGCGUAGAUUCGCAUUGACUGCGAUUCGUAGGUUACGUCUACGUAAAAACGUUACAGUUAAAUAUAACUGCAAAUAACAAAAAUUCUUACGCAUUAGCUGCUUAAUUUAGCGCAUGCGUUGCUCUUUGUCGGUUUACUCGUGGCUGACACUGAGUAUCAACUUUAGCGAGUUACGUUUAACUAUCUCACCUGAAUAGUUGAAAAGAGUCUUAACAGGUUAGCUAGCUCAUCCUAGCCCUGUUAUAUGGCGUUUUGAGCUAGUGAAGUUCAAGUAAUAUAACUAUGAUCGUAGAGGUCAGUGACGGAAUGCGUUUGGACAGGGGUUCAACUCCCCUCAUCUCCAUUU
rnacentral:tmRNA from 1 species